CCCUUAGAUGUUCGGGGCCGCACGCGCGCUACACUGAAGGACUCAGCGUGUCUCUCCCCCUAUCCCGAAAGGGAUGGGCAACCCGUUGAACCUCCUUCGUGCUAGGGAUUGGGGUUUGCAAUUAUCCCCCAUGAACGAGGAAUUCCCAGUAAGCGCGAGUCAUCAGCUCGCGUUGAUUACGUCCCUGCCCUUUGUACACACCGCCCGUCGCUACUACCGAUUGGAUGGUUUAGUGAGACCCUCGGAUCGGUCCCGACUCGGGGUGGGCUUCUGCCCCGGUCGUGGUUUCGCCGAGAAGACGGUCAAACUGGACUAUCUAGAGGAAGUAAAAGUCGUAACA
rnacentral:rRNA from 1 species